rnacentral:rRNA from 1 species
UACGUAGGGGGCAAGCGUUGUCCGGAUUUAUUGGGCGUAAAGAGCGUGUAGGCGGCCAGGUAGGUCCGUUGUGAAAACUCGAGGCUCAACCUCGAGACGCCGAUGGAAACCAUCUGGCUAGAGUCCGGAAGAGGAGAGUGGAAUUCCCGGUGUAGCGGUGAAAUGCGCAGAUAUCGGGAAGAACACCCGUGGCUAAGGCGGCUCUCUGGACAGUUACUGACACUGAGGCACGAAGGCCAGGGGAGCAAACGGG